CGGGAGGAGCGCAGGCGGCUGCGGCGCCCCCGGGCAGAGCGAGCCCCGCGCCCGCACGCCUGCGGCCCUCCAGGGGACGCCGCCGAGCAGCCUGGAGAAAGGCCGGAGUCGGCAGCUGGGUCGUCCCCUGCGCUCCCCGGAGCCUUCCUUCCCGAGGCGGCGGAGCCCGCAGGACAGCCCUGCCGGUGGCACCUCCCUCCCCGGCCAGCCGGUCUGUCACACUCAGCCCUACCGGAACGCCCGCCUUAACGACCCAGGCGCCCCUUCGCUGCGGUGCUUUCGACCUCGGUUCAUCGUAACGUGACAACUAGCGUCCGCUUGAAACAGACUUUUAACUGCUACAGCAAGAUACCAAAUGGAAAAAGCCAGCUUCAAGCAAAGCAGUCCUCAACUAAACUGGAAACUCACCUUCUGGACUUUCAACAAACAUUCUUUUUAAGCUCUGACUGUACCACAGACGCACAGCCCAGACUUUGUAGUCAAGCAGUGAAGCAUCAUCAGGAAGAAAGAAAAGAAACCUGUGCUAAAGCUACACGUUCUCGCCAAACACCAGCUGUCCCACAAGAAGGGGUGCGCCACUGCGUAAGCGGCCGGGGCGAGGGGGACACGGUAACGCCGGUCAGGAGUCUGCCUUUGAUGCUGGCCUUGGUGGACUCGUGGCUGGCGGGGCAGGGUGGUAUUUUCCAGUAGCAGUGCCACUCCAGGAGACUGGAACAGGCCUGCUGAUUCACAGCGCGACAACACCAGGGUCCCAGAAAUAACACUGUGUUUGGCCAAGAUGAGCUGAUUAUUGUCAACCUUGAGCAAGGCAGGUUAUCCUGCACAGCACAGGGGAACAGCUGUAGGAUUUUGUCCUUAUGGUAGUCAUCUGUCGCAAAAAACACACCUUGGACAAGUCGCUCAGGAACUUUAGUGUGCAGUGGGAUUCCUUGCCGAUGCUGCAAAGCAGCAGCCACAAGUAGGAGCUCACAUUUCCACUGGCUUAUGGUUUCAAAGCCCGACAGAGUGGGAAAGCAGUGGUCUUCCAGGGGCUGAACGGCACAGACUGCAGUGAUAGACACCCUGGGCUUCUGGGAAAAUGUGACAGCUGACAUGUUCAAUCACCUCCCUCCAUUUUCCAUAGUCAUCCUUCCCUAUGCAGGCUUCAGCAGAUGCCAGCUUUUGGACUCGCUCAUACCUUGGGUGGCAGCACCAGUGAGCGCAGUGGUGUGCCUCACAGCUGCAACAAGGGUAUUCUACAACAUGGCAGCACUGAUGUAGCAGCUCAUUGCCAACACGAUUCCCUUACCUUCCCACAUCCCCCUCCCAUUCCCAGACACAGCUGUGGCCCGUUGCUUACACUGGUGAUAGCUCUCAUCUGACUUGCGAGCAGGUUCAACUCACUACAUUUAUGGAACGCACACAUACAAAACCCAGGCUUUUACCAGCUGAUGGAACUGACCUGGCUUCACACUGGCACCAGCACCAAUGUAACAGUAGCAGCAGGAGUGCAUGGCUUGCAAUGGGUUCAGCCUUUUCGGAAGCAUCGAAUAUUAGAAUGACUCAACAUCUCACAGGAUUUAGCCACAAGUACCUGGCACAGCAAAAAGUUUUUUAGGGGUUGCAGUAUGCAUACUGCCUUUAACAACACAUCCUAAUACCCCUGGCCUCCUGUCUGGCUUGCAGUAUGAGCAUGAUGUGGUGUUAACCACCAGACUUCACAUAGUGCACUAACAACUUCUUUGGACCUUCUUCAAGGUCGGAGAGCAGAGACUGCAAACAAGGCAGAGCCACCUUGCAGCUUGCAGGCUGCCAGAUGGACCAUGUAUAAAACCUCAUCUAAGGACUUCGGGUGGACUUCCAGAGUAAGCUAAAAAUGCAGAGCCUAAUUCAUGCAGGAGAUGGGUUGGCCUUGUUUCAGCUCUAAGGCCAUGGGGAAUCCAGUCCUGUAGAAUCAAAGAACCAGUCUAAAAAUUUCAUUGCUUUUCAUUUUAAAUGAGAAGACAGGGAGAAGAGAGACAAAAAAGCAAUUAAGAGUGACAUAGAUGAACAAGAGAAGAGAGUGCAAAUGGGGGCUGAGACAAGAGACAUGAGGAAAACAGGCAUGUAUAAAUUGUACAGAAGCUUUUACUGGUGCUAGACUGUAUGAAAUGACAAGCUUUUUUUUUUUGUAAGUGAAAAGAAUAAGUGCUUUUUUGAAAACAGAUGGUCUGCCAGUUCUGUAAUAGCUGACAUGAGGAUUAAGGUAUUUAGGUAGCUUGUUCCAGAGGAAAGUGCUACUGGUGAAAGCUACUUCUGACAACUUCAGCAGUCUGAGAGCCAAAAUGUUCCAAGGAAAGUGGCUGAAGGUUGAGUUGAAUUUCCUGGAGGAGGUCUUAAGGGACCUUAGAAGGCCACAGCACUAUGCAGUCACACCUUAGGAGAGUCCAGCAUGGCCAUUCUUCAGGCUGCUUGGAGACCAGGACUUAGGAAAGAUUAUAUAAUUCCCCCUGGAUGGAGUUAAACUUUAGGGGUUUGUAAUAUCUAUAAAUUUUAUGGGAAACUAGCCCAGCUCUUGUAGUUCUGACACAACCUGGAUUUCGUACGGUUCCAAAACACAUACAUCCACUGUUCUUACUAUUUUUAUAUCUUAAACUACAGUCCCUACCUGAAAGGCUUCUAUAAUGGAUGUAAACACAUUUGGAUGAAAAUGUGGUCAUUUUAGAGGCUACAGAACUUUUUUUCAAAUGCUUCUCAGUAAUAUGCAGAUGGUAGCAGUUUUUCUGAUGUUGAUUGUCACUGCAGACUCCGUUGUAACACUGAUUUUGGAGAUUAUAAAUAGGGUGCUCUGUGUUUCUAAAACCUUGGAGUAUAGCAGCAGUUCCAGAAGCAGGGGAACCCCAGAAGAUGGCUUUUGAUCAAUAGGUGUACAGCAUCUGAAAGGAAUGGGAGAGGUGCAGAGAGUGAGCAAUGAAGUGUAAAAUAUAGAUGAUCUUACUCCCUCCGUGCUAUGUGGCACAUUGUAGAGGCAUUUAAAUGGUGUGGUUAAAGAUUAGGUGGGGAAAAAUCACAGCCGUGUGCAGACUCCUGCAGCUCCAUCUGGUUUAUUUGAACAGAGCUCAUUCAAUUAGCUCAGCAAGUCUCUAAUCAGCAAAAAAGGUCUUAGUUUAACAGACUGCAUCACCACUGCAGAAGGAUAUAGCUCCCAAACCAAGCUGCCAUCUUAUCUGACCAUGUUAACACAUAGCUGUGCCGGUCUUUUCGAUAUAAAUGUUAACACACCUAAAUUCAAGGGUGUCAAGUAUCAGAUUAGUUGUGUCUGAAAAGCUCUCUAAACUUAGCUGGUUUCUGGAUACCUGCCCAGAAAUGGUUCUAAGAAUUUACUUAAGCCAGUGUAGCCUCUGCAGCAGCCAGGUGCUGUGCUGUGACUCUCUACCAACUGUGAUACCAGACAGAGCUGCAGCAGCAGCCAGACCUUCAAAACUUCCUUUAUGUGUUGCAGGAAGACAGCAUUAGGAACAGACUACUCGGCACACUGGCACAAGUGCAGCACUUCUUGUAGCAGGACGAAUCAGAAUAGGGAAUCUUACAAUCAAAGCUGUUCUGCCUGUGCCACAGAUAUUUUUUUUUUUCUGUUUUGCAUUAGAAACAGUGAGAGCGUUUUUGCAUUUUCAUAAACAACAUUCUUGGUCAAAGUCAGUUUACCCAGAAAGCUCAGCUGAAGAGCUUUUUUUCUUCUUAAUUCUUCUAAAUCCACUGCAAAAUACACCCUGGAAAACAAUUGUUCAGACAGGCCACAACAUUCUUCCUCCCAUCCAGUGCUCUAUCUCCCAACAGUUUCAGCAACCCUGGAGUGCAUUUGCCGGGUUUGGAGGUAUUUGCUGUUUGCUGACUAGCAGCAAUCGUAUCGGGCCCUAAAGCUUCUCACUGACAUUGAUGUCUUUCUGCUUUACUUCCCCUAUUUUAUUUGCUUCAAGUGCACUGAAACAAAUGGCAAUGUAAAUGUUAAUGAAUGAUAGGCUCAUUAAAUGGAUCUAGGUUUGCCUCCAAGUUUUAGCUGAUCUCUCUUAGCCUUGUGAGGAAUGUACUGAGAAAUUGCUUGGAAAGCCAGGGCUUUGAUUUCAGAGGGCAGUAGUAAGAGGCCGAUUAUUAUGUUGUAAAACUCUCAGGGCAUAAGUUUUGGAGGCAAAAAUGGGACAAAAAGUCUUGAAUGAAACCAAGAGCAAAAUACGUCCCCCAGAUUUUUGCCAGGGUGCUAACAACUGCUGAUCCUAAACCGAAGGUCUAACCUCACAUCUUCAAAUAUUAGGCUGUGCAUGGUAAUGUUAAAAUACUUCACGUGCACUAGUGCUUGGUGCUUCUAGAAAAGGUACAGCUGAAUUUAUAGAGCAGAUGAUCCUCUUUAGUGUACAUUAAACCUAAAGACAUACCAUGACACUGACAUUAAGUAUUGCACUGUAAAUGCAAGAGAUGUAUGUUCAAACAUUGCUCUGAGCUCAUAUAGGCUUUGCUUUGUUGAUUCUAGUUGACUGUGGCCAUUGAGGUGAGGAAUCAAAGGUGGUAAGGCAUAAUAAUAGUCACUUUAAAUUUUUGAUGACAGAGACUGGCUGGUUUUAUUCAUACUACUACAUUGAUCCAUCUUGGCUCUGGUAUGUCUCAAUUUUAAAACCUUCUCUCAAGUAUAGACUGAAAUGUUUGUCAUCACUGAACACCACAUACCCAGAUAUAGAUACUCUCCACCCCACUCCCAACCUUGCUUCCUACUUGAACAGGUGCUUGCAAACAUGAACUUUAAAAAGUGCCGUCAAAAGGGCAGUCAGGAGCUGUGUGGGACAGGUAAAAAUAUGUAAUAAAUUUCCUCUCCCAGAACUGCACCUCGGCUUUUGCUGCCUGUGUUUUGAGCCCAGAUCUGAAUGUCUGAACUUUUCCCCAAGUAGCGCAUGAUGGAGUAAGUUUGUGCCAGGUUCCAAAACCAGCUCCCAGAGACCUCUCCUGACCACAGACAGGAGCCAGGGCAAGCAGCAUGACCUUACCGUGGGGUCACUCUGUGCUGCUGUAUUACCAAGGUUAACAUUGUGUAACUUGGGGAUGCCACAUGCCAAAUGCCACAUUGUCAAAACAGAUGCUGUAGCUCUCUGAAGACCAAACUCCUGCAUCAGCAGCACUGAAAUUUUUUAUCAUGGCAAGAUCUUGGGUUCUUACUGUCCUUCUUGAAUAUCCAUUGCCUCCAUAGUUUUGUUUCCUUAUAUAUGGAAACACGUAAUAAUUCAUCACAACUGCAUUAAAUCAAAAGAGAAGCUAUGAAUGAAUAAAAACAUUUGGUCAAUAUAUCUACCAGUCGUCAUGGCUGUUUUCAGGAAUGGACAAUAUAAUCAGAAAUCAAGGAAAUUAUAAAGAAGAAUUUUCAUGGCCCUUCAUUUUCAGUGCAUCACAACAAUCAGAAGAUUCAGCCUUUGUGUUUGCACUUUCCAUGUGAAAUCCUCAAAAAAAAAAAAAAAAAAAAAAGAAUUGCAAGUAAAAAUCACUGCCCUGAGCCUCUGUCUGCCUAGGUGAAACUCCAAGUAGCAGGGACACAUUGCACUACAAGGGGGCACAUUGUUCCUCUGGCAAGGCUGACCCUCAGGGAAGCAGCUUGCUUGUAAAUCAGGACUACAUGGAGAAACUGAAAUGGUGCCUUUUGUGUUCAGCCGCAGCAGAAGUGUUCAAUGAACUAAUGGAGAAUUCGCUUCUUUUCUGUCUGUAUUUCUUAUAUGAAGCGUGCGUGCGUGGGCUUUGGAUAAAAGCCAAGUCUUUAAAUAGCACUGGCCACCAGCAGAAAUCCAAAGGAGUGGAUAAUAAACUCAGAUUAAUAGAAAGAAAAACUGUCCCCAUUUCUGUGGCAUUGCUCUUAAGUGCCUGGCUGGGGCUCACUGCCUUUGCCUUGCCACAGAGCAGUUUGAAAGAAGAGGCCAAUUUCUAUCCUGCUACUUAGGGGCCGACUGCAGCUCUGGGCAGCACCAGCACAGCGUACCCUGCGUGCUCUCACCGUGUGUCUGCAACAGCCACUGUAACCAAAACCAGCUCCUCAGCUCCUCUCUCAGAUGUUUAGCACAAAACUGUUCAUGAAUGAUGAGGAAAUGCACCAAAAAGACAAGCAGAAUAAUUUACAUACAUUUGAUGUACAGCACAGUGCAUCUGUUGCGUGGUUUCCAUAUUCAUGCUGUUCUCAGUGGAGAAUCAUUUGCUUUGUGCUAGAAGAGCAUACGCCCCCGAGCCUCCUUCUUUGCUCCACAUUCACUUGCUCCUGUAUAUAUUAAUUAUUUCAAUGGGAUUUCUUCCUGGUUUCCUGUCCCCGUAGAGUGAUAAUGAUUUGUUCUAUCAACCCUCACAGUAGGUGGAUAAACAUUACUAGCCUCAUUUCGUGCAUGGAGAAUCUGAGACAGGAGGGUUAUGCGCUGACUGCCGUUGCAGACAAGAGAGGCUGUAAGGACCAGUUUUGGCACAUAGGAAUUUCUUUGUUGCCUCCCAGGUGCAUACUGUGCUCCCACCCACACUGUUGAGCUUUUCAAAACCCAAGGACAGCAUAACCUUUUAGGGAAAAAAAAACACACAAAAACACCACAAAAGCAAACCUAACAGGCAUUGUGCACAUUGUGGCUACAGCGGUUUUCAAUUACAACAGCAAAAAAGUAUGCUCAACUUUGGAUGUGCCUAUGUGUCUUUUCUACCUCUUGACACACUGGGCUUGCUUGCACACAUGUAAAUGUUUGUAGGAUGAGGUGUGCAGGUAUUUCAGGAUGUCCCAGGUGGGAAAUUUGCUGUUAUUUAAUACCUGGUGAGCCAUAGGUAGAGGGAUACAGGAUGAGACCACAUUGCAGAACUACUCAAAAUAAGAUAGACAGAGGGGGCCUGUGUCUGCCCAGAAGACUGCGCAGGGUGGAUGUUAUCUCUUGGCACAGCUGAAACAAAGCAGACUGACCUCGCAGCACCUCUGUAAUCCUUUGCUUACCCAGGGAUACCCAACACCGCCUCGGCUGCGCAUUUGGGCACGGUCAUUAAACAUUAAGGAAGCUAAACCACCUGACAUGUGUGAGGGGUUUACUUGCUCUUUCAAAUGUCACUACCAAGUCAGGACUAUGAGACAGCAAAAUCAGACCAGGAGAAAUCCUCAGGGCAGCAGCUAAUGCAAUCAGCAUAGCUGGGACCUAGUGAGGCAAAGCGGGUAUCAGUCCUCCCUCACCUCAGCAUGGCCCCACAGCUCGCCAAGGGUUAUUUCAGGUCAGAGAAACAGCCAGAGAUGAUUUCCUAGCCUCCUCGAGACCCAGUUGCUCCCUCUUCCUGCCUAGAAAUGUCCCUCCCUGAGGCUGCACUUGACUGAUAAAUUAAUAAAGGGGAUUCAAGGAUACAGGAGAUCUCUUCCAAACCCUUUUUCCCACAAAACCUACAAAUCUAUGCAGAGGAAGGUAAUAUUUAAGUGUUAAAUUGCCCAACCUCCCACAGUCCUUGGCUGAAGGGCUUCUUCCUGAGCCAGAAAUGCUUAAUAGCCGUUCCUGUGUUUUUUCCGUGACUCUAAUUGCUUUUGCAAUAAUCUAAAUUUUUGGCAUCCACAGCAUCCUCGAGCACUAAGUUCCACAACAGAACUAUAAAAAGGAUGUUAAAAGGACCCUUCUUUUGCGUCUUCUAAACCUGGUCACCUCAUCGUCUUCUUGACGUGUCCAUACUUCUAUAUGCUGAGAGGCAGCAAAUAAUUAACCUUUUUUAACUUUCUCAGUUAAUUUCAAAGACUGCUGUCAUACCAAACACCCCAGACAUCUCUUUUUAAAGCUGGUGUGUCCUAUUCCACGUUUAGUAUUUCACUCCUUGCCUCUCCUCUUGGUACUGUUACUACUUUUAUCAUACCCUUUUGACACUGGGAGGCCAGAACUGCACAUGGCAUUUGACAUUUGGGCAUACAGCAGUUGUAUAUAAAAUGUGUAUGUGUGUGUAUACAUAUAUUUAUUCUGUGUGUGUAUGCAGACAUACAUAUGGCAAGGAUGUUUCUGGUUUUAUUGUCUAUUUCUUUCUUAAAAUUUCAUUAGCAGUUCAGUCUUCUGAUCAGCACUGAGAAUUGUUUUUCUGUUUUCACAGAGGUAUCUAUUAUUGCUUCAGGCAACUCUGCCCGGAUUUGUAUUCAUUAGCUAAACUGCUUUUUAUAUGUAAAACUUCUUAGCAGAAAUACAUGAGAUGGGCCUGUUCCUCUGUUUCUCUUCUCUGCCUACAGUGUCAUGGCCCUGCAGAUAGACUUCCAUGUGCCCACUGGCCCAGUGAAGGAACCAAACAGUGAGGAACAUCCUGGUUCAUCCUGUGUGAAAGUAGUGGCAAAUAAUACAGAUUUUUUUUGGAUAACUAUGGAAACUGUGCAACCAAGCGUCCGUGUAGAAUGUGACAACUCAGCUCCAUCAAGAUCUGAGCUUCAGACAGACCCCUAAAUCCACUUUAAUACAGGUUCUGAUCCAUCCUGUAUUUACAACACUCACAGGGGAAUGGGAGUACCCAGCCCCCAGCCCCUUUUUCAGUAAAUGUUUGUUCUGCAGAAGAGGAUGGAAAUUUCCAUCAUGAGAUCUGAAAAACAAGGCAAACUUCUCCCCAGAGUGUUGUGUGUCUAACUAAUCCCCCUGAUGAAAGAGGGCUGGAUGAUUGACCUCUCAAGGUCCUUUCCUACCCUAAUCUUAAAGUGCCUAAGGUUAUCAGCGAUCUCACAGAUAGAUAAAAAGAUCAGCCCAUAUUUCCUCAGAGCACAUUUGUGGGUGACAAUUUGCAAAGAGCUGCUUCUACCACCCUUCUGUUAAAAUUCCCCAUUUCAUAAUGGCUUCUAUGGUACAGACCUUUAUAAAACAAUUUAAACCAGAGGAAUUCAAAAUCACUCAGAAGCUGGGUGAUAUCUCCUAAGCCUCUGAAUCCUUUGUCACUCAGGUCCCUUUUUGAUUUUCACAGAAGGGGGGGAAUACAGUAGACACAAAACCCUUAUCAGAAAAUAAUAAAUAACAAAUCUGUCUUGGGAUCUUUGAAAAUAAUAGCAGGUUUGUAUUUGCAAUUGACAAGUGUUAUGAAUUCAGGUUAGUGGGUUACUAUUUAGGAAGAUCUUUUCCAAAAUGCAGUCUUUUAGUCCUGUUGCCUGCUUUCCUCUACAGUAUUUUAAAGCGAUGCUUUGCACAACUGGGAGACCAAAAGGUUGAUCUUCCCAUUCUCUUGUAACACCAUCUUUAUUCCUGCCAUUCUCCUGGGGCAUCUGCAGCAAGGGUUGCUUUACAAACAUAACUGAGCAUGUUCCUUAUUUAUUACCUGCUGGCAAAUCCAGUGCCAGAAUUUUAGGAAUAACAUCAUUAACAAGCUGCAUGCUCUGAUGAUUAUUUCUCUGUUGACAAGACCGAGAGCUCACACCACAUAACAAUGAACUAAAAAGCAUGCAGCAAUGGAUUAAAAUGGAAGAAUUCAAUUUCAGUCUUCAAAACAUUUCUGAAGCAAAUGUCAUUUUGAAAAAUAACAGCUGAGUGAGUGUAUCAUGGCAGGAUUAGCCCCUUUAAUGGUUAAAAACUCCAUAGGCCCCAGCUGAUCACAUGGGGAUGCUGAUCAUCUGGAGAGAAUGGUAUUUGUGUGCAGCAUCCAAGUGGCCAGGGGCCCAGAGAAGUUGUAUCAGUUACAAGCCCAAGAUCACAUCUGUCUUGCGCUGGUCCUGGGGCCUUCCGGGUGAUACGGGAAUGACACCAGCACCAGUGGAAACAGCUCUGGCCUCCUACCAAGGUGAGUAGAGCCCUGCUUGCCAUCCACCAGCUCCUGUCCCGCCAUCUAGUGGGGCGUCUCCGGAUGUCACAAGCACCCAAAUAAGUAGGAAGCCUUAACACCUGGAGCGCAAACACGGAUUUCUUGAGUCUUUUCGAUGGGGAUCGCUAAGUUAGCUGAGGAUACAGUUGAGCUCAACGGCUUCGGGAGAAAAAUUAGGCAGAGGCUAAUUUGCCUUAGAAAAAAGCUAUUCAACUGCCCGCACCACCACCAGCCCUCGCAGCUCCCCUUCCCUUAGGAGCAGGCCAUGCUGCUCCGUGAGAAGUCAGAUUCAGCUCACUUAACAAAGGGAUCUGGCAGUGAGCUGUCUGUUCUGUGGAGGUUAAAUACAAUGAAUUCCACUGUCAUUUUUGCAAAGCAAUUGAACUGUCCAGGCCUGUGCUGAUUCCCGCAAUUUUUUUUUUUUGUGGAUGAAUUUAUAAAUCUUCCAUUUCUUUGCAGAGAGAUCCAGGCUUACUGCCUGCAGAUUAAGCAGAGUACCGGCAAGCACGAGAGUAGUUAAAUCCCUGCUCACCUUUCCCUUAUGUUUGGCAUGGAAGGAGCCUUUUCUGCAGCCUAUCUCAAACCUGAGUCAAAGAACUGUACCACAUUGUUUUUAAAGAGGACUAAAGCAGGGACUUGUACCAGGAUUAAAGCUGGGCACUGCAGAACCUGAAUGCUUCUCCCUCUGCACAUAUGUGAUUUCCACACAGACUUAUCUUGCCAUGCAGAACAACAAACACAUUCUUCUCUUACAACAUGUCUCUUCCAAACCCUCCUGUCCACUCUGAAUAGGGUUAUGAGGAUAUUAUUUUUAUCCCAAUUGUGUAACCAGUCUAAACACGUGUAAAUGACAGCACAUAGCUCAUCUAAGAAUUGCAGGGUGACACAGAAUAGGGCUAAAAGGACCUAGAGGCAGUCUGUCCAUCUGUUGCAGGGCAGGGUCAGCUGUUACCUGUGUCAUUCAUGGUGGAUCUAACAUACUUUCUGAUCUCACCUAAGCAGGUUUCUAGCCUAUUCUCAAAAACCUGCAGGGACAGUGAACUAGGUGGACAGUCUAUUCCUUGCUUCUCUAUUGAGAGCACUGAAAAGCAUUCCCAGUGCCUAAUUUAAACUCUCUUGCAGCAAAAUAAACCAGCUCAUAUUCCUUCUA